rnacentral:rRNA from 1 species
CCUACGGGCGGCAGCAGUGAGGAAUAUUGGUCAAUGGACGAGAGUCUGAACCAGCCAAGUAGCGUGAAGGAUGACUGCCCUAUGGGUUGUAAACUUCUUUUAUAUGGGAAUAAAAUGUUCCACGUGUGGGAUUUUGUAUGUACCAUAUGAAUAAGGAUCGGCUAACUCCGUGCCAGCAGCCGCGGUAAUACGGAGGAGCCGGGCGUUAUCCGGAUUUAUUGGGUUUAAAGGGAGCGUAGGUGGAUUGUUAAGUCAGUUGUGAAAGUUUGCGGCUCAACCGUAAAAUUGCAGUUGAAACUGGCAGUCUUGAGUACAGUAGAGGUGGGCGGAAUUCGUGGUGUAGCGGUGAAAUGCUUAGAUAUCACGAAGAACGCCGAUUGCGAAGGCAGCUCACUGGACUGCAACUGACACUGAGGCUCGAAAGUGUGGGUAGCAAACAGGAUUAGAUACCCCGGUAGUC